AUCCAGCUGAAGAGUUCCAAACAGGACGAAAUGCACAUUUUAGAU
rnacentral:hammerhead_ribozyme from 1 species